GUACCUUUCUUGGCUGAUCCCUUUCGCUGUAUGGCGUGCUCGUUUGGGUUGGGCGUCGGCUAAGAGUGCUCGGAGCGUGGAUUAACUCCAGUCUCCUAUCAGGUGAGCCUUGAUAUGGGGACUUGGGCCGGAGGGGAUUCAGAGUGGCCACGGUGAUCGCUUUUGGACCUUUAAAUAAGCUUUGGUUUUCAUUUAAUUUCCUUUAUUUAUUAUUUAUUUUUGGGUUAUAAUAAGGCCAUUUUUAACUUUUCUUUUAUUUCUUCUCGGGAUUAUUUUAUUUUUAAUAACUUCAAACCUGGUUGAUAAUUGUUCAAA